GGGUGAGUAACGCGUUGGUGACCUGCCCCGGAGUGUGGGAUACCAGGCCGAAAGGCUUGCUAAUACCGCAUGCGCAAUCGAGGGAUUAGAAGCUUGGUUGCAAAGGAGUAAUCCGCUCUGGGAGGGGCCUGCGACCCAUCAGCUAGUUGGUAAGGUAACGGCCUACCAAGGCGAUGACGGGUAGGGGACCUGAGAGGGUGGCCCCCCACAAUGGAACUGAAACACGGUCCAUACACCUACGGGUGGCAGCAGUAGGGAAUAUUGCUUAAUGGGCGAAAGCCUGAAGCAGCAACGCCGCGUGUGCGAUGAAGGCCUUCGGGUUGUAAAGCACUUUUGAUCGGGAAGAGGAAGGACGGUACCGGUCGAAUAAGCCUCGGCUAACUACGUGCCAGCAGCCGCGGUAAAACGUAGGAGGCGAGCGCUAUCCGGAUUUACUGGGUGUAAAGCGCGUGCAGGCGGUUGGCUAAGUUGGGUGUGAAAGCUCCUGGCUCAACUGGGAGAGGUCGCUCAAGACUGGCCGACUGGAGAGCAGUAAGGGAAGGUGGAAUUCCGGGUGUAGUGGUGAAAUGCGU
rnacentral:rRNA from 1 species